GGAUGAUAUAAAGUUCAAGGUUUGAUGGCCAUACACCAUCUUUUGGAUGGAACACAGCUAUGACUGUUGUCUGUGCAUCUUAUGCCCUUGAAGAAAUACCUUUUGGAGAGACAUGAUUUGAAUGAAUUUGAGAGAAGUUUUGAUCUAAGAUCUAAACUUAUUCCACAGUAUAUUAUUAAUUCGAGUGAGAAACCAUAUAUAUUUGGCCAAUUUUAAAAAGGCAUCAGAUGAAAUUUAUCUCCAAUAAAGGGCAAAGAAAUUUUAGAAAGAAAACUUAUAAGUGUAGUCAAUGUGGAAAAAAUUUCAGUGACCAUUAAAACCUUAUUCAUCAUCAGAGAAUUCACACUGGAGAGAAAUCUUCUAGAUGUGAUGAUGGUGGAAAGGCCUUCGACCAGAGUUCAUCUCUUACUGAGCACUAGAGAACUCAUAAUGGAGAGAAACCUUAUGGAUGUGAUGUUGUGGAAAAGUGUUCACUGAAAAUCCAUCUCCCAUUCAACAUCAGAGAAUACACACUGGGGAGAGACCUUACAAAUGUAGUAAAUGUUGAAAAAGCCUUCAGUGAGUACUCACCUUUACUCAGCAUCAGAGUUCACCUUGGAAAGAAGCCCUGUGAUUGUUGUGAUUAUGGGAAGGCCUUCACAGACAUCUCUUCCCUUACACACAUCGGAGAACCCAUAGUGGAGAGAAGCCCAUAAAUGUCAUGAUUGUGGGAAAGCAUUCAGACAGAGCCCACACCCCACUCCACACCAGACGACUCACAUGGGGAGAAGCCCUGUAAGUGUCAUGGAUGUGGAAGAGCAUUCACUCCCCACUCAACCUUUAUACAACACCAAAGAAUUCACACUGGGGGAAAGCCCUACAUGUGCAGUGAAUGUGGCCAGGGCUUCUCUGGAAACUCCUCCCUUACUAAGCACCAGAGAGUCCACUCUGGAGAAAAACCCUAUGAAUGUGACAGAUGUGGGAAAGCGUUCAGCCAGAGUGCUCACCUUACUCAGCCAGAGAAUUCAUACUGGAGAGAGACCCUUUAAAUGUGUCCAGCAUGAAAAAGCGUUUGGGACCACUUCUGUCUUGGUCAGACAUCAGCAUUUUCACAUUUUAGAGCAGUCCUAACAAUGCUACAAUUUUGUGAACUACAAUCAUGUGUCGCUUGAUAGUGAUGUGUUCAGAGAGAGGCCCCAUUGAGUGGUUUUUAUCUUUAUGUGAAUGUGGUAGACUGCAUGACUGCUUUCACAUGACUGGAAGUGCUAUAGGGUUGUUCACACCAGCAUCCUCACAAAGCUGCUGUGACAGCUAUGACAUCAAAAGGCAUAGGCGCUUCCCAGCAUAUGGUCUUGGGAAACCACCAUCAUUUGUCGUCUAUCAUUAACCAGAAUAUGGUUAUGCAGUGCAUGACUGUCCUUUAUUCUUUUAGUCUGCUCUUACUUAUGUAUUUUCUCCUCCUCCUCCUCCUCCUCCUCAUCUUCCUCCUCCUCCUUUUGUACCAGCAAUUGAACUCAGGGGCAUUCGACCACUGAGACACAUCCCCAUCCCUAUUUUGUAUUUUAUUUAGAGAAGGGGUCUCACUGAGUUGCUUAGUGCCCUGCCAUUGCUGAGGCUGGCUUUGGACUUGUGAUCCUCCUGCCUCAGCCUCCCGAGUCGCUGGGAUUACAGGCGUGUGCCACCGUGCCCAGUGUUGUUGUGUGCUUAUUUACCAUACCUUAGGGUGCGUGUGUGGUCUGUAGAUCCUGGGAGACUCCACAUGGAUAAUCUGCAUGCAGGCCACAUCUCCUCUGUGGCUAUUUCUAGAUGGUACAGAGAGGGCUCAGCACCUGGAGUCUCACUGGGGCCUGAGGGGAAGUGUUACUGUGCACCUCAUU
rnacentral:lncRNA from 1 species